rnacentral:rRNA from 1 species
AGUGAACGCUGGCGGUAGGCCUAACACAUGCAAGUCGAACGGCAGCACAGUAAGAGCUUGCUCUUACGGGUGGCGAGUGGCGGACGGGUGAGGAAUACAUCGGAAUCUACUUUUUCGUGGGGGAUAACGUAGGGAAACUUACGCUACUACCGCAUACGACCUACGGGUGAAAGCAGGGGAUCUUCGGACCUUGCGCGAUUGAAUGAGCCGAGGUCGGAUUAGCUAGUUGGCGGGGUAAAGGCCCACCAAGGCGACGAUCCGUAGCUGGUCUGAGAGGAUGAUCAGCCACACUGGAACUGAGACACGGUCCAGACUCCUACGGGAGGCAGCAGUGGGGAAUAUUGGACAAUGGGCGCAAGCCUGAUCCAGCCAUACCGCGUGGGUGAAGAAGGCCUUCGGGUUGUAAAGCCCUUUUGUUGGGAAAGAAAAGCAGCAGGUUAAUACCCCGCUGUUCUGACGGUACCCAAAGAAUAAGCACCGGCUAACUUCGUG